rnacentral:lncRNA from 10 species
AACAACUAGCCCUUCAAAUGCUUGAUAAUGUGCCUAAGUUCAAAUCAAGAUGGAAUCUUCUUGGAUAUCAAUUUUUUCAACUUGAAGCUUCCCUAUACUUAUAAAUCUUGAUUGUUUUGUCUGAACAUGAACAAGACUUUUGAGCAUUGAUUUAGUAUAAUGUGUGAAUAAAACUAGGUAAUGAAAGCUAGCGAUUUUUUUUAGUUUUAUUUUAUCUAUACUUGACACAUAAUUCUACAUAUUUAUGGGGUACAGUAUGAUGUUUUAAUACAUGGUACAUUGUAUAAUAAUCAUAUUAGCAUAAUUAGCACAAUUAGCACAUUUAUCACUUUAAGCAUUUAUUAUUUCUUUGUAGUGUUAACAUUCAAAAUCCUCUCUUCUAGCUAUCUUGAAAUAUAUAAUACAUUAUUAUUAUUAAUAGUUAUAGUCACUCUAUUGUAUAAUAGAACACCAGAACUUAUUCUUCUUAACUGUAACUUUGUACUGGUUGACCAACCCUCCCCUCCCCAGGAUCUGGUAACCACUAUUCUCUCUGCUUCUAUGAUCAACUUUCUUAGAUUCCACAUGUUGCUGGGUGCAGUGGCACAUGCCUGUGGUCCCAGCUUCUUGGGAGCCUGAGGCAGGAGGAUCGCUUGAGGCUGGGAGUUCUGGGCUGUAGUGUGCAAUGCUGAUUGGGUGUCUGCACUAAGUUCGGCAUCAAUACGGUGACCUCCUGGGAACAGGGGACUACCAGGUUGCCUAAGGAGGGGUGAACCAGUGCAGGUUGGAAACGGAGCAGGUCAAAACUCCCUUGCUGUUUGGAGUGGGAUUGGGCCUGUGACUAGCCACUGUACUCAAGCCUGGGCAACAUAGCAAGACCCCAUCUCUAAAAAAGGAAAUUUUAAAUUUUUUGUAUAAACUAAUAUUUUUAAUAAAAUAAAUUUUUUAAAAAGGAAAAAAUUUAAUUAAAAAGCUAAAAAAUAGAUUCUACAUGUGAAUGAGAUUACUCAGUAUUUGCCUGAAAGCUAAUGAUUUUAAAAGUCCAGAAAAAUGGUGCCUGCUGUUCUCACGAUGGCGUUUUCUGCCAGGGCGUGAGCUAACAUCUGGCAGACAGUGCCCUCUAGAGCUGUUCCGAGAAUGAUAACGUAAAUACAGAUCCCCGAGCUCUGCCCCUCUCAAACUGAAUCAAAAGCGCGGGGCAUGCAGCUCAGGUUUAAGUAUUUUAAAAGGGCCCCCAGAUGUUUUAAUGCACAUCCAAGAUUGAGAACCACUGACAUAAAGCCCUUUGGUGUUUAAUACAUUGAGUUUCUCAUAUUUCUAAAUUUUCUCUUGAAAUCACACUUCAGAGGACCUUGAUAACCGGCCUUGACUUUUUAAAGUUUUUAAUUUAGAUUAUUGGUUAAUACACACUUGAGUCAACAGGUUGAAGGUUAAUUCUACCCCCAGGAAAAAAGUAAAACUUUUUUGGUUCAAGAAGCCCAGCUCUUAUCUUACAGGAGAACAUGGAGAGAAAUGGCAUCAGCCUAUUCAGAACUCUUCUGCCCACCUAGCCGGAAUCAGCAAUUUAGCAUGCAGUCAUAGCCAUAGUUCACGUCUACGAAUCGGUCAGCACCUGGGGGGCUAUAUCUUUGUCUUAGGUCUCCAUGUUGCCCUCUGCAAACCUCUGUAUUGCACUUGGUGAGCAGAGUGCAGAGCGGACCCUACAGCCCUCACCCCCAUGACUGGCGCCUUUGGGAAGUGCCCACCCUGCCCAACCUUACCCUGCAGUUCUCCUAGGCCCAAUAAAAUCUCAAUUAAUAUUCAUGCAUGCACUAGUGUAUUCAACACAUAUUUGCUGUCUUUUGAAGAAGUGGGGCCAACCCAAUUAUAUUUUCUGCAUUAUAAACACCUUCCAAGGCUCACCUUCUCUCUCUACCCCUCCAUUUCUGGUCCUAGUUGAGGUCCUAUCGUCUCUUACCUGGGCACCUGCAGUGACUCCCUAAUCAGACUUGCUCCUUUUAGUCUCAUCCCCUUCAAACCCAGCCCACACACUGGCCAGAACCAUCUAUUUAAAACUCAGAUCUGGAGAGUGGGGAGGGAUAGCAUUAGGAGAUAUACC